rnacentral:lncRNA from 1 species
GCACUGACCAACAUCUACAAGCAUCUGAUGAUCACAGCUCAGAGAUUCACAGUGCAAAUUGAGGAGAAACUGCUCCUCAAGCUGCUAAGUUUCUUUGGCUACGAUCAAGCAGAAUCAGAUUUAGAAUUUAAGCUUUAAGAGUAUUUGGGAUCAAGAGCAAGAUCCUGUCUGUUUAAUGCUGUGUUUUCCACUUUGGGUUGGAACGCCAGUGUUUAUUUGUAUUCAGACAGCCACUUGGGAGCCUGCCUGCCAGAGGUGGAAAAAUAUGAUGAAAACCUCCAUGAAAAGACAGCUGAGCAAGGUGGAACACCAAUUCGAUACUACUUUGAAAAUCUCAAAAUCAGCAUUCCUCAGAUCAAGCUAAGUGUGUUCACCUC